rnacentral:ncRNA from 2 species
CAUUCCGAGGAGCGUUGCAGCUCUCGCCAAGCGACAAGAUGCUGGUGCAGAGUGAGGCUCGGAACCCGCUCGGGCCGCACGGCCUGGCGUUUCACAACGGCGCUCACCCACA